rnacentral:tRNA from 1 species
GGGGAUUUAGCUCAGUGGUAGAGCGAUUGCUUAGGAAGCACAAGGCCCUGGGUUCGGUCCCCAGCUCCG